AUGUACUGAAGUACAUUCCGGUUCCUGUGCUCCGGCCGCCACCGGCUGAUGGCCUCUCGCUACAGAUCGUGAACA
rfam:Herbaspirillum sp. CF444 PMI16_contig_94.94, whole genome shotgun sequence.